rnacentral:rRNA from 1 species
UACAGAGGGGGCGAGCGUUAUUCGGAAUUAUUGGGCGUAAAGGGCGCGUAGGCGGCCUUUCAAGUGACGGGUGAAAUCCCUCGGCUUAACCGAGGAACUGCCUGUCAGACUGGAAGGCUUGAGACCGGGAGAGGUGAGUGGAAUUCCCAGUGUAGCGGUGAAAUGCGUAGAUAUUGGGAGGAACACCAGUGGCGAAGGCGGCUCACUGGACCGGUUCUGACGCUGAGGCGCGAAAGCGUGGGGAGCAAACGGG